rnacentral:lncRNA from 1 species
CAGAAAAUUUUCUCAAAACUAAAAAAAUGAAUUAUAUUGUAGGAACUGAAUUGUAAUGUCAUAACAAGUGAGGAAAAAAAAUAAUCUAAACUUUGAUGAAAAACAAAUCAUCAAAUACAACUAGAACCUAACUGUUGUUCAGAUAUGGGCAAGUCCUCCUAUUGUGACAACCAAUAUUAAGACAACUGGAACACUUCUGAGCUUUGGGAUGCUUUCUUGGGUGUUUGAAAUCCUUUCGUCUUUGGCCUCCCAGGACCUCUUUUAACAUCUGGAGGAAGUAUACGAACAGAAUCAACAUCAUCUUCUGGUUUGUCCUCAUCCGAAAUCGGCUGAAUUGCAUGCGAGUAUGUAAACCCUAAAUCUUCUGGUUUGUCUUCAUCCUAAAUUCUAAACCCUAAAUCUAUACUUGAUUACUCCAAGAACAACACCAUUAGCAACCUCAGUUGAAACAACACCAUCACAUAAUUGCACAUCUGUAUAAAAAAAAAACAUCAUGUACAGUUGAUCAAUAGAUUAAUCAACACAUUAAUAAAUAAUAUAACAUUUCUAUUUUAUCGCGACAUUAAUCAACACAUUAACAUAGUACUCAGAUAGUUGAUUAACCUAUUAAUCAAGCGAAAUGCUCAAAAAAAAAAAAAAAAAAAAACAACAAAAUUGUUGAAACUCGUUCAACAUAAAAAAACACUAAGAAAUCAAACACAAUAACAAGAAUUGCUAAAUUAAUAAUCAAAACAGGAAUUAAGAACUCAACAAACUAACCUGUACAAUCGUUAAUCAUCAUCAUCUCGAAAUCGAGUUGAGAAAUCAAUCCAAAAUAUCAGUUGAUAACACAAAAAACUGAUCUCAAAUUGAAUUCCAAAAUAAAAACACGAAUUCAAACUUCAAGAUUUGCCAUUAAAAGCUCCAAUUACAAAAUCAAUCAUACAAAUGAAUCGAUGCUGAAAACUGAGCUCUCGCGAUAACUUGGAUUGAGAAGAUCUUGCCAAAUUGAAUUGUGAAAUCAAAACCCUAAAACAAAAUCUGAACUCUCGCGAAUGAAAAACAAACCAAAUCUGAACUCUCGCGAUAAAUUUAGUAAAUCUUAUGAAAUUGAAUUUAGAAAUCUCAAUCAAAAUAUGAAAUCUUCCUCCAGAAACAUGGAAUCUUCAUCUAGAAUUUUCUCUUCUUCAAACUCUCUGCGAAUGAAACCAAACCGCAAUUCAAAAUCUCAAAACACGAUCUAUAUAGAUGGUUGAUAUAAGGGUAGUUCAGGUAUUAUAAAAGAGAGAAGAACGCAACUAUACGCGAUUUUGUCCUGGAAACAAAAUUAUAUUCCGUACAAUUGGACUUUUAGUAAACCUAAAUAAAACCCGUGUCCUUGGGCCAACCAAACCAAAACUACGAACCAAAGCCCAAACAAACGUUUCUAUUUGGACUCUGGACUAGUUUUUAGAUUGUUCAAGCUUAAAAACAGUUGGACGCUGACUCCUUGGUGUUAUGUGAAUUGUGAAAUACAAAAAUAGAAAAUCUCCCUCCCUCAGUCACUCUGGGACUCCUGAACUCUUUCUGGCUUCUCAGUUUUCUCAUUUUUAACCCACUGAACUCUUCUAUUGGUCGAUAUAAAUAAUGCAAAACUAGAUGUACGUACAUGCUCUUGUGUGGGUUUAAGUUCAAAUUCAGAAAAUGGGAUAGUUCCAAGUUCCAACUACUGUAGUUUGCAGCUCCCUGGUAACGCUUCUCUGGCUGGCUGGAGAAGAAAAUAGGCAACUUUGGCUUCAGUUCUGUAGGUGGAGGUUGCAAGAAUCCCAAGAUCAGAGAUGUGUGACCCUUUAUGCAUGGCUUUAUAUAUAUUUGUUGUAGUGGAAGCAAUUAAGGACAACUCGAGAUGUACUGCUGAGUGGUGAUCAAUCUGUUUCCUCCAGCAUUUUAUCAAUUAAACUAGGAUGAUACAGAUGAUUAAAGAUGAAAACUUUCAUUUCUCAGCAGAAGAAGAAGAAGAAGAAGAGGCAUUUCUGUUGGGUGUAUAUUCAGUGAGCUUAUAUGAACACAUUGAUAAAAUUUCUGUAUCCAAUAAAAUUUCCAAUGUGUUGUGGGCAUUCAGAAGUAGGCUCUUGGUAGGAUUGAUUUUCUCUCUAGAAGUAAUUUAUUUCUCUAAAUGGUAUUCCUGCAGUUGAUGUUUCUGCAUAGGAUGAUCCAAGAAGCUCUAAUACCGAUGAUUUGAUCAAUAUUGUCCAUUCCAUGAUAACAUCUGGGUCUUCUGAACUGCUAUUAAACAUUCUUCAUGAUCUCGAGCCUCCACAAAUAAUAAGGGAAUCCAUCUCCCAAGAUACGAACCAAGUAAACAUAGAGCUCAUGGCCAAUUGAAGGAUGCCAUUACAAAGGAUUUCGAAGAGACAUUGGUUGCUGUUAUGGGAAAUUGCUUAAAGGGAAGGAAGCAUGCUCCAUAGGAGGUCAGACAGAGGAGUGAGACAUUUCUGCUAAUGCAGCAGUGCGUUAUAGAUGAAUAUAAUCCAUUCUUGAAGGAAUUGGGGAAAUUGGUGGUUAAGGAAUUUGUUUGAAAGAGAUAAAUAAAAACAAACCAGAAGUAGCUGCUUUGGUCCUCAAGGCUGUCGAUGUUCCUGAAAUUGCUAAUCUUGAAUUGCAACCGGGAUUGAAGCCAAAGACUUGGCGUUCCAAGCUUAUCAACGUCUAUCAAAGUAAAAACUUGGUCUUGAAUUAGUAAAGAAAUGUCUUGCAGUUUCUCUUUCUUCUGCCCGUUUCUCACUUAACUACAGCGUGGUUUAUGUAGUUCCCAUACUAAACUGUGAGCUCUUCUUCCAUGAAUUAAGAAUUUGACUGCAAAAUUCAGCAGUGAUUUGAUAGCUCAAGCAGGCCUCUUAAAGUAUUUCCUACUUCCAGUUGUCAAUCAAUCCUUAAGUAAUGAAUCACAUUACUUUCAGUAAUCACUCAUGGUCCAAUCGAAUCGUCUGAUGAAGUAUUGUAUCACAUUAUUUUCACUCGUGAAAGUGUUCAACCAAACAGUUAUUUAAAAUUACUGUGUGGUUAAUGUCACUAUGUUUGCAAUUUAGAUGAUGCUUUAACGGCCAAAACCUGAUGCCAGAAUUUUUUUUUGAAAGUUAAUACACUAAAACAAGUAUUGAAUGUACUUUUAUAUUGACAUUUCAAUUGAUAAUAUCGAAAAUUUCUAAGAUUAGUAUCCAUUAGCCAUUAUAAUCUUAAGGUUGCUUAUCUGUGUGACUAGACCAUUAUACAUUCAAACCACGGCGCACUUUAUUGGAAAGUACCCUUAAAGCGCAAUUUUAUGUCAAGUUUAAACCAUUUAGUUGCAUGAUAAAACUUUUGUAUCUAAAACUCCAUUCCGACCAUGGCUUAUUGUUUUCAGUUUAUUCGAUGUUCUCAAUACUAGGUGCAAGAGUUCUGUUAGUUCAAGGAGAUAAAAUUGGAAUUUUGUAAGACGCAAUUUUCAAAAUUCAAUUAAUAAAUGGCCAAAUAAAAAAAAAAUCUCGUUAAACGGCAUUCUAUAUAAGAAGAUUUUUUACCUCAUACAAAUUGUUGUGUAUUUUGAUUCGGAUAAUUAUGAAAGAGAUUCUUUCCACGAAUGGAUCACAAUUUUGUUAUUCCUACCGGCUAUAUAAUAAUCUCCAUAGCUCUCCCAAAUUUCAUUCUAGUUAGAACUGAAGAAACUUUACAUUCUGGUGAAAAUUUAUUUUCUAUGGCAGGACUAGGAUGAGCUUCAAGAUAAGGAUGCACAAGUUAUAAAGACAGAGGUAGUGGAAAACGAAUCUUACGAACUUGUUGACUAUAAGCCCCCAAUAUCUGACGCACGGAACUGCUGCAAGCCAACGCAUAACCUCAAGUCCUUCGUUUCAUCAAAUCCAGGUAAUUCUAAACCACCUACUGAGCGUAACGUUUACAAUUGUUGUUGUUCUUUGAAAAAAAUUUAAGACGACGAAUCUUUUUGUGGGCAUCAAACAGAUUGUGAGUUGGAUCGAAUUCUGGCAACAAGAAGAGCAGAAACAGAGAUGUCGGCUACUCCAAACCAUUCUGGAUGGAAGAGGCCAGCAUAUCCUGAAUAUGGUGGAAAAAUCAGGAGUAUAAAAGAUCUCUAUGGUUGUUCUAGCAUUGAGGAGCGGCCACGCAAGGUAAUUGAUCUUAAUAGGCCCUAUCCCCUUGUUACUGGCUCUCGAUCUGGCUAUUCUAGGUCCUCCUCAAACCUUGUUACUGACCAACAAGCCAAUAAUGGUUUAAACAAUACCAUUGAGAAACAGCUGAUGGGAGUGAAUUUUGCUACUGGUUCUUCUGGCAGUGGUCAGAGUCCUCCGACUGGUGGAAAUGAACAGGUGUUGAAAGCUGAAGAGAACGAUGAAGGAAAGCUUGAUCUAACCUUGAAGUUAGGAUAAAUGUUUCCAAUCAUUAUAUUGCGUUUUUCCUUAUUUUGAUUUCGUUUGUCCGAGUAGCCAUUGAGUUAUGGUUUGUUCCGGACCGGAUUCCGGUCCAGUGGAUUUCUUGUGUGUUUGCAUAAUAAUGCCUUUGGCCAGUAGGUCGCCAUUGAGCAAAUGUGUGUCAUGACCAUGUCAUAGACUAUGUCCAAUUUUAAUUUUGUUGUAUUCUGUUUCUGUAUUGUGUUUGCUAAUAAUAACAAGUUUAAACUUGAUUUAUAUGUUUUUAAUGUUUCAAGUUAAUUAUCUUUCUUUAAUUUUAGUACUGUAUAAACAACAUACAGAGAAUUGCGCAAUUCUGAAAUCAUUAAGUUUUGAUUCCUACUACUACUAGUACAGAUGAAUCUAGUAAUGGAAAAAAGAAAAGAUUUAUGAAUAUGGGAGUUCAAUCAAUGCAAUCUUUCUUCAUGUUUAUCAUCAUAAAGAUACCAAAUUCUUCCAAGAGAUUUAGAAUAAAAAUCUUGAAAAACAAAGAGAAGUAGAAACCUGUGGUUGCUUGAAGUUGUGAUUUCUCACUCUUCUUCUUCAAUGCAUCUGUUUCUUGAUCUCUCUUUGCCCAAUUAUUCUUAAUUUUCGCCAAAAUUCUUCAUUUCAGUCUUCAAGAACUCAGAAGUUUUAGAACACACGAUUCAUGAGUGGUGUUCGCCUUGUUUGGG